AAAACAAAUACGUAGGGAGCGAGCGUUGUCCGGAAUUACUGGGCGUAAAGGGCGCGUAGGCGGCCCGUUAAGUCAGGUGUGAAAUACCACGGCUCAACCAUGGACGUGCAUUUGAAACUGGCAGACUUGAGUAUUGGAGGGGGUGGUGGAAUUCCCGGUGUAGAGGUGAAAUUCGUAGAUAUCGGGAGGAAUACCAGUGGCGAAGGCGACCACCUGGCCAAAUACUGACGCUGAGGUGCGAAAGCGUGGGGAGCAAACAGG
rnacentral:rRNA from 1 species